AUGAAGGAAUUCCAGAGCAUCUUACAUGUGGACAUGGUUGUAUUUAUUUACGUGGCAGUCCCUUUUCUGAAUCUUCUUGUAUCAGCCAACAACGAUGCAUGUUCCAACUACACCAGUAAAUACCACCUUUACGCCUGCAUCCCCAAGCGACGCCGAAAGAUCCGUUGCGUUGCCGACGGGCUGCACGACCAUGCUUGGGCUCGUGAUAUCCAUGGCAACCUGGGCGUUCAUGAGAUUGGCCAACAUCUCCUUCUAUGGCAUGCGAUCCAACACACUACCCUCUCGGAAGAGCCGGACCAGCUUGUCUGGAGAUGGAGCGCGAGCGGGAGGUACACUGCCCAAUCAUGCUACCUUGCCACUUUCCAGGGAUCAACCAGCUGCAGCGCCUUGACACUGAUCUGGAAGACCUGGGCUCCGCCAAAAGUGAAGUUUUUUCAUUGGCUAGCCAACCUGGACAGAUGCUGGACUGCCGAAAGACUACAACGCCGUGGCCUGCAGCACCACCCCUGCUGCGUCCUUUGUGACCAGGAACCAGAGACGAUGCAACACCUUCUUGUCACAUGCCCCUUCUCGAGGCAGGUAUGGCACGACACCCUUGCCUGGCUAAGGAUGACGUGCAGACCACCUGACCGGGUCUUUUUUUCUGGGUAA
rnacentral:rRNA from 1 species